GACGGAGGAUGCAAGCGUUAUCCGGAAUUAUUGGGCGUAAAGCGUCCGCAGGUGGCUGUUCAAGUCUGCUGUCAAAGCGCAGAGCUUAACUCUGUACAGGCGGUGGAAACUGAAGAGCUAGAGUAUGGUAGGGGUAGAGGGAAUUCCCGGUGUAGCGGUGAAAUGCGUAGAUAUCGGGAAGAACACCAGUGGCGAAAGCGCUCUACUGGGCCAUAACUGACACUGGAGGGAACGAAAAGCUAGGGGAGCGAAAGGG
rnacentral:rRNA from 1 species